rnacentral:lncRNA from 10 species
CAGAUAAGAGAAUAAAAGCAGGCUGCCCCAGCCAGCAGUGGCAACCCGCUGAGGUCAAGCUUCGUUUUUUUUGCUUUUUACAAUAAGUGUUGCUACUGCUCAGUCUUUGAGUCCACGCUACUUUUAUGAGCUGUAACACUCACUACAAAGGUCUGCAGCUUCACUCUUGAAGCCAGCGAGACCACUGAGCUCACCGGGAGGAACAAACAACUCCGGACGCACUGUCUUAAGAGCUAUAACACCGCCAAGGUCUGCAUCUUCACUUCUGAGCCAGCGAGACCACGAACCCACCAGAAGGAAGAAACUCGGAACACAUCUGAAUAUCAGAAGGAACAGACUCCAGACGCGCCACCUCAAGAGCUGUAACACUCACGGCGAGGGUCCGCGGCUUCAUUCUUGAGGAAAGUCAUGCAACAGAAGAACCCAACUUCUCAGAGAGCUGUAAAUAUCCAGCUUGGGCAAAAUCUUUUUCCCUUGAAGACUGGAAAUAUUAUCCAUGUUGUCCUCCGGAAUAUUUUCAAUGACUUGUGCCCUGCCAGCUCUAGCUUUUGAAGGGUCUACACUCAUCAUCAACAGGUACUGGAAAAAUGAAUGGCUUUCUAGGAGGCAUACUGUUCAACUCACCUUUACAACUUUCAAUCACUGUGGCUGAAAUAGAGUCAUGAAAGACAAGAUGUUGAUAAUACUUACAAGAGAAAGAAGAUUCUGGGGGUUCAUGCACAGAUUUCUUACCUGGGUAUAUUGUGUGAUGCUGAGCUUUGGAGUUCAACUGAUUUCAUCACCCAGGAACCAGCCCAGGAAGCCAGCCCAUUAUCCAGAGGAACCAACCAAGGAAGCCAGCAGAACAACCAGAGAAAGCCAAGUAUGCACCUGAUGCCCCACUUCCAGUGAGCCGCCUCCAGCUUCCCACGCCAACAGCUUCCAAUCAGCACACUUUCGGAGCCUUCCCUUUUCUCCACGAUGAAAGCUUCCCCACUCCUCUGACUGCCUUUGAGCCUCUGCCAAAACUCAAGUGAUGGUAGCCGACUCCCUGCUACCGCAAGCUUGGAAUAAACA